UACGAGGGGUGCAAGCGUUAUUCGGAAUCAUUGGGCGUAAAGGGUGCGUAGGCGGCAUAUUAAGUCAGUUGUUAAAUUUCCCGGCCUAACCGGGAGUAUGCGGUUGAUACUGAUGUGCUAGAGGGUGGAAGAGAGAAGUGGAAUUCUCGGAGUAGCGGUAAAAUGCGUAGAUCUCGAGAGGAACACCGAUGGCGAAGGCAGCUUCUUGGUCCACAUCUGACGCUGAGUGCACGAAAGCGUGGGGAGCAAACAGG
rnacentral:rRNA from 1 species